rnacentral:lncRNA from 1 species
AAAUAUUUUAAAUUGAAAAUUGAAUUCAUUCAUUGUAUUCAUAUAGGGUCAAGGAGUGUAGCUGUAAAAAAUCAUCAAAAUCGGAGUUAAAAUAGCCGUUAAAUCGUGAUUUUUCGUUUAUAACCGUCGAAAAGCUUUGUCCCGUUACUUGAUCUCUGAAUGUUUGUUUUUUGUGAUUUUUUGCUGAUGUGAUCUCGAAGCAUAUACAAACAAGUUUGACGGUUGGGAUCGUUGAAAUUUGUUUCGGAGAAUUCGUAUCCCAUCAAAACAAUAGAUUGACUAACACUUAGAGUUUAUUUAUACUUUCAUUAAGUAUAACAUAAGAUUUUGUGGUAUCCACUUGUAUAAAUAUUUUAAAUUGAAGAUCAAAUUCAUUCAUUGUAUUCAUAUAGGGUCAAGGAGUGUAGUUGUAAAAAAUCAUCAAAAUCGGAGUUAAAAUAACCGUUAAAUCGUGAUUUUUCAUUUAUAACCGUCGAAAAGCUUUGUCCCGUUACUUGAUCUGUGAAUGUUUGUGUUUUGUGAUUUUUUGCUGAUGUGAUCUCGAAUCAUAUACAAACAAGUUUGACCGUUGGGAUCGUUGAAAUUUGUUUCGGAGAGUUCGUAUCCCAUCAAAACAAUAGAUUGACUAACACUUCAGAGUUUAUUUAUACUUUCAUUAAGUAUAACAUAAGAUUUUGUGGUAUCCACUUGUGUAAAUGUUUUAAAUUGAAGAUCGAAUUCAUUCAUUGUAUUCAUAUAGGGUCAAGGAGUGUAGCUGUAAAGAAUCAUCAAAAUCGAAGUUAAAAUAACCGUUAAAUCGUGAUUUUUCGUUCAUAACCGUCGAAAAGCUUUGUCCCAUUACUUGGUCGCUGAAUGUUUGUUUUUUGUGAUUUUUUGCUGAUGUGAUCUCGAAGCAUAGACAAACAAGUUUGACGGUUGGGAUCGUUGAAAUUAGUUUCAGAGAAUUCGUAUCCCAUCAAAACAAUAGAUUGACUAACAGUUAAAGUUUAUUUAUACUUUCAGUAAGUAUAACAUAAAUUUUUGUGGUAUCCACUCGUGUAAAUAUUUUAAAUUGAAGAUCGAAUUCAUUCAUUGUAUUGAUAUAGGGUCAAGGAGUGUAGCUGUAAAAAAUCAUUAAAAUCGGAGUUAAAAUAACCGUUAAAUCGUGAUUUUUCGUUUAUAACUGUCGAAAUUAGUUUCAUAGAAUUCGUAUCCAAUCAAGUUCAAUGGUGUGUGUAUAUAUAUAUAUA